UCGAGAAUUUUUCACAAUGGGGGAAACCCUGAUGGAGCGACGCCGCGUGGGGGAUGAAUGGCUUCGGCCCGUAAACCCCUGUCAUUUGCGAACAAAUCUCAUUCAAUAACACUGGAUGGGUUGAUUGUAGCGGAAGAGGAAGGGACGGCUAACUCUGUGCCAGCAGCCGCGGUAAUACAGAGGUCCCAAGCGUUGUUCGGAUUCACUGGGCGUAAAGGGUGCGUAGGUGGUCGGGUAAGUCUGAUGUGAAAGCUCGGAGCUUAACUCCGAAAUGGCAUUGGAUACUAUCCGGCUUGAGGAUUGGAGGGGAGACUGGAAUUCUCGGUGUAGCAGUGAAAUGCGUAGAUAUCGAGAGGAACACCAGUGGCGAAGGCGAGUCUCUAGACAAUUCCUGACACUGAGGCACGAAAGCUAGGGGAGCAAACAGG
rnacentral:rRNA from 2 species